rnacentral:rRNA from 1 species
GUGAACGCUGGCGGCAGGCCUAACACAUGCAAGUCGAGCGGCAGCGCGGGGGCAACCCUGGCGGCGAGCGGCGGACGGGUGAGGAAUUCGUCGGAAUCUGCCUUUUUGUGGGGGAUAACGUAGGGAAACUUACGCUAAUACCGCAUACGACCUACGGGUGAAAGUGGGGGACCUUCGGGCCUCACGCAGAAAGAUGAGCCAACGACCGAUUAGCUAGUUGGUAGGGUAAAGGCCUACCAAGGCGACGAUCGGUAGCUG